GCUCUGAUGCUCCAGCUCCCACCCACGGGCACCAUGACUCCUGUGAAGACCCAGCACUCCCUGGUAAAUCAGACGUAUGCCGUGCCCCUCAUCCAGCCAGACCUGCGGCGAGAGGAGGCCAUCCAGCAGAUGGUGGAUGCCCUGCAGUACCUGCAGAAGGUCUCUGGAGACAUCUUCAGCAGGAUCUCCCAGUGGGUAGAGCAGAGCCAGAGCCAGGUGCAGGCCAUCGAGGAGAAGGUCUCCUUGGCCCAGGCCAAGAUUGAGAAGAUCAAGGGCAGUAAGAAGGCCAUCAAGGUGUUCUCCAGUGCCAAGUACCCUGUUCAGAGCACCUGAAGGAAUAUGGCUCCAUCUUCACAGGUGUCCAGGACCCUGGCUUGCAGAGACGACCCUGCCACAGGAUCCAGAGCAAGCAUGGCAGGCCCUGCAGGUCUGCUGCCUCCCAGGAGAAGCUGAAGUACUUUCCUGUGUGCAUGAGUGCCAAGCUGGAGCCCGAGGAUGACGCAGAAGAGAGGCUUGGGGUCUUCCCAGAAACAUCAGUUGUGUCAGCUCCUUGUUGCUCUUCAACACCACCAAGAUCUUGUACAAGAAGUAUGUCUUCCUGGACUCCCUGGCUGGUGCUGUAACAAAGACCCAUGUGAUGCUGGGGGUGGAGACGGAGGAGAAGCUGUUUGAUGCCCCCUUCUCCAUCAGCAAGAGAGAGCAGCUGGAGCAGCAGGUUCCAGAGAACUACUAGGUGCCAGACCUGGGCCAAUACCUGAGAUUGGUGUGCUAUCCUACCUGUCCGACCUGCCCGGCAUUGCCAACGACCUCAUGUACAGUGCUGACCUGGGCCCCAGCAUUGCCCCCUCUGCCCCUGGCACCAUUCCAGAACUGUCCACCUUCCACACUGAGGUAGCCGAGCCUCUCAAUCCAGACCUAGAAGAUGGGGUGUUCACAGCACCCCCAUCACCUCCCCCAGCUCCUGAGGUGCUGGCCAGUGCACCCCCCACUCCCUCAGCCCUGGCCCCUGUAGGCCCAGGCACCAGGCAGGACGGCGGCAGCAGCCAUGUGUCUCCUUCAGUUGAGGGAGCUCUCAGGGAAGUGGUUGACCCUUCUGAGGGCCAGACCACUCUGCUACAGUCCAUCCACCAAGCGGUGGGGGCAUCGGCAAGGCCAAGCUGCACAGCGUGAGGGAGCAAAAGCUGGAGAAGCAGCAGCAGGAGCAGGAGCAAGUGAGAGCCACGAACCAAGGUGGGGACCUGAUGUCGGAUCUCUUCAACAAGCUGAUAAUGAGGUGCAAGGGCAUCUCUGGGAAAGGACCUGGGGCUGGUGAGGGACCUGGAGGAGCCUUUGCCCACGUGUCAGACUCCGUCCCUCCUCUGCCGCCACCACAUGAGCCACAGGCAGAGGAGGAUGAGGACGACUGGGAAUCCUAGACUUGGGCCACUGCUCCGACAUGGACACAGCCAGGACAAGCUCCUCAGACCCGUUGCCCUAGGAGGGGGCGGUGAAGGAACUGUCCCGGGACUGUGCAGGGACCACCUUUAGGGAGUGAGAGGCUGGCCUGAGGCCACAGGGCUAGGGCGGGGGCUUCUGUAUGCCUGUGUUCCACCGGGGGACAGCUCCACCCAGCCUGCACCAGUGUGCUCUUCUCUUCCCUAAAGAGGCUUCUAGAGAAAACCGAAGCACAAAUCAAAAAAGAACUGAGCAGAAACCAACAGUGCACUUUUAAUAAAAGACCUCUAGCUGUGCAGGA